UAUUCUUUAUAGCUUGCUACGGAUUUGGUUAGUGGCAGACGGGUGAGUAAUGCAUAGGAAUCUACCUAGUAGUAUGGGAUAGCCACUGGAAAUGGUGGGUAAUACCGUAUAAUCCCCGCGGGGGAAAGAUUUAUCGCUAUUAGAUGAGCCUAUGUCGGAUUAGCUAGUUGGUGGGGUAAUGGCCUACCAAGGCAGUGAUCUGUAGCUGGUCUGAGAGGAUGAUCAGCCACACUGGAACUGAGACACGGUCCAGACUCCUACGGGAGGCAGCAGUGGGGAAUAUUGGACAAUGGGCGCAAGCCUGAUCCAGCUAUGCCGCGUGAGUGAGGAAGGCCUUAGGGUUGUAAAACUCUUUCAGUAGGGAAGAUAAUG
rnacentral:rRNA from 1 species